UCAGCUACCGUCCGAGAGUAAAGAGAGGUUAUAAUUUUCUCUCCAAACUUCUGCUUCAGCUACAACAUCGUCUAGUGUUUCUUCAACUCAGUUCAAUUUUAAUAGUUAUUAAACCAGUAUUUUUGCUACGAUAUAUCUAGUGAUUUACAGCAGCCAGUAUUCAUGAAAGCAGUAUAGACAUUUUGCAAGAGGAUUGAUGAACAACUAAACAAACAAUGAUGGAGAAACACGUGGAAUAUUCUGGAGAUGAAACCGUACUAUUCAACGCAUUGGAGAGCAGCUCUACUACCAAAGUGGAGACGUGGUUCACUGGAUAUGGUUAAUUGGAGUGUCUCUUCUCAAAUGGAUCAAAGUCUACACUGUAUUUUGAGUGCAUGCUUUCAAUGUUUCGUAUUGCCUCCAGAAUGAACAUAAACUGUGCGGUAAAUAUUUGUUGCAACUUGAUUUUUGUCUACAGUAUAAAACCGAGGUUUGUGCAUGCUAAAUUUACUGUUCAUUAGUCUGGAAUGUGUUAUUAGUUAGGCCUAUGUGCAUCUUCAGUAGAAUUCAAACUAAUCAUAAUUUCAAUUAGAUAACGUUCUCUAAUACAUCAUCAUCUUCCAUUCCAACAUACGGUUCAUCACAAUCCACUAAUAUUUUAUUCGACUGAUAUCUUUUAGUGAUCAAUAUUUUAUUCAAUUCAAAAUUCAAGUUUUUAAUCGCAGUCAUCAAAAUAUAGAGAACCAACAUAAUAAUAUUAUAUCCUUGAAAUAAGUUUAUUAACAUUAAAAACAAGCUAACUUGUAAUUGACCGAGCGAAGUGAGGUCUAAGAUUCAAGUCGACGGUUUGGCAUUUCUCUUAAUGUUUAAAUGUUUAUAUGUUGCGCAUUUACGGCGAAACGCGGUAAUAGAUUUUCAUGA